CAUCUUCGGCACGUGAUCGCGAACCAUUCCAAAAAACCCGCAACCCAGUCGAACUCCUAUAAAUACCGAGUCCCACAUCCUUCUCGAAACACCUCACCAACUCGCCGCAGUUGUACGGACUUCCACGGACCACCGGUGAGUUCCGCAAGAAGAUGACCGGAGUUUUCGACAGGAACCACUUCACUCGACUUCCUUUCACGUAACCCGCCAGCGCCGCCGAAGGAGUCCGAAGCCAACGAGGAUCUUACAUCAUCGAGUUUCGUGGGUGUGUUGUUGUUUCUUUUAUGGUUCAUGUUCCUGUUCGACACAAUCCAACCCUUUCGCUAUUUUUCGUUACACUUCAAGCAUUUGCCGGAAAUCCGCAAGCCACCGGGGACUUGCUGGAAGACCCGUGCUCACGCCGGAGCCGCUCGGAGUACACAACGGGAACUCAAGAUCGCGUGAUCGGGUAAAUCUCUUGCGCUUGUCACAACUCUCUUGGAUUCAACUCCACUCUCUAUUAUUUACCAAGAAACGCAACGCAAUCAAUGUGAGUAUACAUGACCCAUUUUCGUUUUACACUUUUGGGUGCAAUAUGUAUUACAUAUCAAACAUCACAACACAUUAAACAUUUUAUGCACACUCAUUCCAUAUUCUAUGUGACACACUCUAUUCAUGUUAGACAUGUUAUGCUACUGUAAACACCUAAUGACUAUGUGUUCAUUAACUUCGUACAAGCCUCCCCUAACAAUGGUAGCGCUAUAGGUUGAGAAACGCCCCUCCUGUUCUA